GACGAACGCUGGCGGCGUGCUUAACACAUGCCAGUCGAACGGAAAGGCCCUGCUUUUGUGGGGCGCUCGAGUGGCGAACGGGUGAGUAACACGUGAGUAACCUGCCCUUGACUUUGGGAUAACUUCAGGAAACUGGGGCUAAUACCGGAUAGGAGCUCCUGCUGCAUGGUGGGGGUUGGAAAGUUUCGGCGGUUGGGGAUGGACUCGCGGCUUAUCAGCUUGUUGGUGGGGUAGUGGCUUACCAAGGCUUUGACGGGUAGCCGGCCUGAGAGGGUGACCGGCCACAUUGGGACUGAGAUACGGCCCAGACUCCUACGGGAGGCAGCAGUGGGGAAUAUUGCACAAUGGGCGGAAGCCUGAUGCAGCAACGCCGCGUGCGGGAUGACGGCCUUCGGGUUGUAAACCGCUUUCGCCUGUGACGAAGCGUGAGUGACGGUAAUGGGUAAAGAAGCACCGGCUAACUACGUG
rnacentral:rRNA from 1 species